rnacentral:lncRNA from 1 species
CAUAGUUGUCUUGGCUGUUAGGCAUCACAACAAACCAAACCCUCCUGUUGCUCCCACAACUCCCCCUAGCACCAGCCCUACCUCCCCAUCCCCCAAAUCUCCAUCUCCUCAGUACCCUCAUCACCCUCCUGGGACCUCACCAUCACCAGCAUCAGUGGCUAACCCUCCAGCCACCUCACCAUCACCAGUAGUGGCUAGCCCUCCUGCCACCUCCCCAUCACCAGUGGGCUACCCUCCUGCCACCUCCCCAUCGCCAGUGGGCUACCCUCCUGCCACCUCACCAUCACCAGUGGGCUACCCUCCUGCCACCUCACCAUCACCAGUGGGAUACACUCCUGCCACCUCACCAUCCCCAUCAACAACAACAUCUCCAGCGCUAGCGCCAGGUCCAUCUUCAUCCCUUACACCAUUUCCUUCUCCACCCUCACCGCCCCCCGAGGGGCCCACACCGCCCUCCGAGGGGCCCACACCGGCCCCGUCCGCAGAGUCUGCGGGCCCCACACCACCGGGAACCGUUUCUCCGCCGCCCGGGACAGCGGACUCGACGGCUCCGAGACCGGCGGGGAGUGGAGCGUCGCAUAGUGUAACGGCUCCUUCGAGCGUGCUGGUGUCU